GGGCCCGCACAAGCGGAGGAACAUGUGGUUUAAUUCGAUGAUACGCGGAGGAACCUUACCCGGGCUCGAACGGUAGUGGAAUGUGUGUGAAAGCAUACAGCUAGCAAUAGCCGCUGUCGAGGUGCUGCAUGGUUGUCGUCAGCUCGUGCCGUGAGGUGUCGGCUUAAGUGCCAUAACGAGCGCAACCCUUAUCUUUAGUUACCAUCAGGUUAAGCUGGGGACUCUAGAGAGACUGCCGCCGUAAGGUGAGAGGAAGGUGGGGAUGACGUCAAAUCAGCACCGGCCCUUACGUCCGGGGCUACACACGUGUUACAAUGGGUGGGACAGAGAGGAGCAAGUUAGCGAUAAUGCGCGAAUCUUCAAACCCGCUCUCAGUUCGGAUCGAAGUCUGCAACCCGACUUCGUGAAGCUGGAUUCGCUAGUAAUCGCGCAUCAGCCAUGGCGCGGUGAAUACG
rnacentral:rRNA from 1 species